rnacentral:rRNA from 1 species
AUACGGAGGAUCCGAGCGUUAUCCGGAUUUAUUGGGUUUAAAGGGUGCGCAGGCGGCCAUUUAAGUCAGCGGUUAAAUCGUGGGGCUCAACCCCAUUCUGCCGUUGAUACUGGGUGGCUUGAUUGCGGUCGAGGUUGGCGGAAUUCGUUGUGUAGCGGUGAAAUGCAUAGAUAUGACGAAGAACACCGAUUGCGUAGGCAGCUGACCAGACCGCAAAUGACGCUCAUGCACGAAAGCGCGGGGAUCGAACAGGAUUAGAUACCCUGGUAGUCCGCACAGUAAACGAUGAAUACUUGUUUUCGGCGAUAUAAUGUCGGAGGCAAAGCGAAAGCGAUAAGUAUUCCACCUGGGGAGUACGCCGGCAACGGUGAAACUUAAAGGAAUUGACGGGG